UACCCGCUGAACUAAGCAUAUCAAUAAGCGGAGGAAAAGAAACUAACCAGGAUUCCCCUAGUAACUGCGAGUGAACCGGGAAGAGCUCAAAUUUGUAAUCUGGCGGUCUCUGGCCGUCCGAGUUGUAAUCUAGAGAAGUGCUUACCUGCGCUGGACCAUGUACAAGUCUCCUGGAAUGGAGCGUCAUAGAGGGUGAGAAUCCCGUCUUUGACAUGGACUGCCAGAGCUCAACAGGUGCGCUCUCGAAGAGUCGAGUUGUUUGGGAAUGCAGCUCAAAAUGGGUGGUAAAUGCCAUCUAAAGCUAAAUAUUGGCGAGAGACCGAUAGCGAACAAGUACCGUGAGGGAAAGAUGAAAAGAACUUUGGAAAGAGAGUUAAACAGUACGUGAAAUUGCUGAAAGGGAAACGCUUGAAGUCAGUCGCAUCGUCUGGAAAUCAACCUCGCUCUUGCUGGGUGUACUUUCCGUCCGAUGGGUCAGCAUCAGUUUCGGCUGCUGGACAAGGUCUUUGGGAACGUGGCAUCUCAGGAUGUGUUAUAGCCCUUGGGCAGAUGCAGUGGCCGGGACUGAGGAACUCGGCGCGCCGCGAGGCUGGGACACUUGUCGUCCACACCAACGCGCCUAGGAUGCUGGCAUAAUGGCUUUAAUCGACCCGUCUUGAAACACGGACCAAGGAGUCUAACAUGCCUGCGAGUGUUUGGGUGGAAAACCCAUGCGCGCAAUGAAAGUGAAGGUUGAGAUCCCUGUCGUGGGGAGCAUCGACGCCCAGACCAGACCUUCUGUGACGGCUCUGCGGUAGAGCAUGCAUGUUGGGACCCGAAAGAUGGUGAACUAUGCCUGAAUAGGGUGAAGCCAGAGGAAACUCUGGUGGAGGCUCGUAGCGAUUCUGACGUGCAAAUCGAUCGUCAAAUUUGGGUAUAGGGGCGAAAGACUAAUCGAACC
rnacentral:rRNA from 1 species